AUGGCAGGACCUGACAGCCCAGGGAAGACUAUGGUGGACUCAGGGAACAGCGGCGGCGGCGCCAUGGUCGUGCACCAGCGCGUCGUCCGUGACACCGGCGGGGCCUGGCCCAUGCUGACGCGUAUGAACUACGCGGACUGGGCCCUCCUGAUGCAAGUGAUGCUCGAGGCGCGCCAGCUCUGGGUCGCCGUCAACGACGGGACUCUGGAGCGAGAGACAGAUCGCACGGCAAUGGAGUGCCUGUUGUGA
rnacentral:rRNA from 1 species